rnacentral:misc_RNA from 1 species
GAUGAAGAACGUAGCGAAAUGCGAUAAGUAGUGUGAAUUGCAGAAUUCAGUGAAUCAUUGAAUCUUUGAACGCACAUUGCGCCCUUUGGUAUUCCUUAGGGCAUGCCUGUUCGAGCGUCAUUUAAACCUUCAAGCUCAGCUUGGUGUUGGGUGACUGUCCGCCGCCUCCGGGCGGUCGGACUCGCCUCAAAUUGAUUGGCGGCCGGUACUUUGGCUUCGAGCGCAGCAGAAACGCGAACUCGAGGCCGUCGUCCUGGCUCCCAGAAGCUAUCUUCACAAUUUUGACCUCGGAUCAGGUAGGGAUACCCGCUGAACUUAAGCAUAUCAAUAAGCGGAGGA